rnacentral:sRNA from 16 species
UUCAGAUACGGAGACCUAGUGCCUCUGAGCCCGUUCGGAAAAGUGGUGGGCAGCAUGUGUGCUCUUAUCGGAGUGCUCACUCUGGCACUUCCUGUGCCAAUUAUUGUUAGUUUU